UACAGAGGGUGCAAACGUUGUUCGGAAUUACUGGGCGUAAAGCGUGUGUAGGCGGCUAUGUAAGUCGGAUGUGAAAGCCCUGGGCUCAACCCAGGAAGUGCACUCGAUACUGCGUAGCUUGAGUACCGGAGAGGUUGGUGGAAUUCUCGGUGUAGAGGUGAAAUUCGUAGAUAUCGAGAGGAACACCGGUGGCGAAGGCGGCCAACUGGACGAGUACUGACGCUGAGACACGAAAGCGUGGGGAGCAAACAGG
rnacentral:rRNA from 1 species